CCUACGGGGGGCAGCAGUAGGGAAUAUUGCUCAAUGGGGGAAACCCUGAAGCAGCAACGCCGCGUGGAGGAUGAAGGUUUUCGGAUUGUAAACUCCUUUUGUUAGAGAAGAUAAUGACGGUAUCUAACGAAUAAGCACCGGCUAACUACGUGACAGCAGCCGCGGCAAUACGGAGGGUGCAAGCGUUACACGGAAUAACUGGGCGUAAAGAGCGCGGAGGCGGGAUAGCAAGUCAGAUGUGAAAUCUUAUGGCUUAACCAUAGAACUGCAUUUGAAACUGUUAUUCUCGAGUAUGUGAGAGGUAGGUGGAAUGCUUGGUGUAGCGGUGAAAUCCAUAGAGAUCAAGAGGAAUACUCAUUGCGAAGGCGGCCUGCUAGAACAUAACUGACGCUGAUGCGCGAAAGCGUGGGGAGCAAACAGGAUUAGAUACCCUUGUAGUC
rnacentral:rRNA from 1 species